rnacentral:rRNA from 1 species
GAUGAACGCUGGCGGCGUGCCUAAUACAUGCCAGUCGAGCGAACAGACGAGGAGCUUGCUCCUCUGACGUUAGCGGCGGACGGGUGAGUAACACGUGGAUAACCUACCUAUAAGACUGGGAUAACUUCGGGAAACCGGAGCUAAUACCGGAUAAUAUAUUGAACCGCAUGGUUCAAUAGUGAAAGACGGUUUUGCUGUCACUUAUAGAUGGAUCCGCGCCGCAUAGCUAGUUGGUAAGGUAACGGCUUACCAAGGCAACGAUGCGUAGCCGACCUGAGAGGGUGAUCGGCCACACUGGAACUGAGACACGGUCCAGACUCCUACGGGAGGCAGCAGUAGGGAAUCUUCCGCAAUGGGCGAAAGCUUGACGGAGCAACGCCGCGUGAGUGAUGAAGGUCUUCGGAUCGUAAAACUCUGUUAUUAGGGAAGAACAAAUGUGUAAGUAACUAUGCACGUCUUGACGGUACCUAAUCAGAAAGCCACGGCUAACUACGUG